rnacentral:rRNA from 1 species
UACGAAGGGGGCUAGCGUUGCUCGGAAUCACUGGGCGUAAAGCGCACGUAGGCGGCUUUCUAAGUCAGGGGUGAAAUCCUGGAGCUCAACUCCAGAACUGCCUUUAAAACUGCAUCGCUUGAAUCCAGGAGAGGUGAGUGGAAUUCCGAGUGUAGAGGUGAAAUUCGUAGAUAUUCGGAAGAACACCAGUGGCGAAGGCGGCUCACUGGACUGGUAUUGACGCUGAGGUGCGAAAGCGUGGGGAGCAAACAGG